AAGUGAGCUGGAAUGGAAUGGUGGCAGUGAGUUAUUAUAAAGCAGCUAAUUCCAUGAAGAGCCAUUUGGUAUUUAUAACGGCUUCAUUGUCGAUUGAAUUAGUAAAGAACGCAAGUGACUCAAAGGUCUGUGAUGAGCAGAGAACGACAAAGGGGAGACAGUGACGGGGGGCUUGGUGGUGACGAGAGAAGAAAAGCAGGAGAAAAGAAAGCCAUAAUGGCAUUUGUUUAUAGAUUCACUCACUGACAGCCGUGGUGGCUGUGAUUCCAGCCCACUGCAGGCUGAAGCAGGAGGAUAACCAUGAGCUCGAAGCCAUCCUGAGCUACAUAGUGAUUCCAGUUUUUCUCCUAGGAAGUACAGCUAAGAAGCCCUGGCCUGCACACCCACGUGAGCCAAGCGGCCGUCCUCUGCAGGUGCCGUCUGGGGUGGGUCUGGUGAAACGGUGGACAAAUCGCAGAGACAUCGACUGGUUCCUUGAUUCACCUACAAACAGGAGUCAGGAUGCGCCGAGCUCUAGCUCUGGUCCAUCCAAGUGCCGAUGGAUAAACAAAACAUCGAAGGAUAAAUCGAACUGCCAGGCCUCUCCGCAGCAAUGUCAGCGAAGCUCUACCUCCUUCCUUUUCAGCUCAUUUUUCCAUUGACGCAAAUUGUCCAAUGGCACCAAGUCAGAGUACAGAGGAGGUCAGGCCUCAUCAAUGCCCUGUCCAAGCCACUGCUGAUCAAAAAGGGCCCUGGAUCUGUGAAUGGAGCCCCCCAGCCACAACAGCAACUGGAUUUUCAAUUCAUUUUUCUCUCUGCUUAAAAUGUUCUGGACAUUGGAAACACUGUUUAAUUAUAAUAUCACCAUCUGUCUACUCUCUGCAUUGUGUGACCAGAAAAUACACAACGUGCUUAUUGUGUUUAUUGAUUCAUUUAAGCUUCAAAAAUAAUAGAAUGCUAUAUAAUAGGAU